GACGAACGCUGGCGGCGUGCUUAACACAUGCAAGUCGAACGGAAAGGCCCUGCUUUUGUGGGGUGCUCGAGUGGCGAACGGGUGAGUAACACGUGAGUAACCUGCCCUUGACUUUGGGAUAACUUCAGGAAACUGGGGCUAAUACCGGAUAGGAGCUCCUGCUGCAUGGUGGGGGUUGGAAAGUUUCGGCGGUUGGGGAUGGACUCGCGGCUUAUCAGCUUGUUGGUGGGGUAGUGGCUUACCAAGGCUUUGACGGGUAGCCGGCCUGAGAGGGUGACCGGCCUCAUUGGGACUGAGAUACGGCCCAGACUCCUACGGGAGGCAGCAGUGGGAAAUAUUGCACAAUGGACGGAAGCCUGAUGCAGCAACGCCGCGUGCGGGAUGACGGCCUUCGGGUUGUAAACCGCUUUCGCCUGUGACGAAGCGUGAGUGACGGUAAUGGGUAGAGAAGCACCGGCUAACUACGUG
rnacentral:rRNA from 1 species